AAGAAAGUAAGAAACUAAAGAGAGAACAGUUUGUCUCCUUCACUCUGCAGAGAACAGUUUGUCUCAUCCACUCUGCCUCACUGCCCGGUACUAGAAAAGAAAAAAAAGAGUAAAAGGCUUGCUGCUUAGUGCUUACGGUGCGAGAGAUUGCCGAGGGGUGAGGAGGAGGCACAGAUGCUGGAGGCGCAGUUCUUGGUUUAAUGGCUUCUGAUGGAUCGUGUCCGGAUUGGAGACUUUAAUUGGCUCUCCAAUGUAGAGUUCGAGUAACUAGAAUCCAAGGAAAUGUUGGAGUCACGCGUCCUAUGCAGACAAGGUACUUCGGUAUAGUUGAUGGUUUGGUAGCAGUGUACUUGGGAUAUUAUGACUAAAGCUCGCUACGACGGUUGUAAUUGUUGGACCACGGGUUAUCCACUAUUUUAUAGGUCUAGUAUGGCUUGUGACGUUUAUGUCACUUAUUCUUUGUAAAGCCAUUAUUGUUAUGUAAUUAUUGUGUUAAUAAGACUCAAAAAGAUAGAUGUUAAAUGGCUCUUUGUUGUAAUUAAUUUGUGAUAGAUGUAUAAGUUGUAAUUUUCACUA